GAGUUUGAUCGUGGCUCAGAUUGAACGCUGGCGGCAUGCCUUACACAUGCAAGUCGAACGGCAGCAUGAUCUAGCUUGCUAGAUUGAUGGCGAGUGGCGAACGGGUGAGUAAUACAUCGGAACGUGCCCUGUAGUGGGGAUAACUAGUCGAAAGAUUAGCUAAUACCGCAUACGACCUGAGGGUGAAAGUGGGGGACCGCAAGGCCUCAUGCUAUAGGAGCGGCCGAUGUCUGAUUAGCUAGUUGGUGGGGUAAAGGCCCACCAAGGCGACGAUCAGUAGCUGGUCUGAGAGGACGAUCAGCCACACUGGGACUGAGACACGGCCCAGACUCCUACGGGAGGCAGCAGUGGGGAAUUUUGGACAAUGGGCGAAAGCCUGAUCCAGCAAUGCCGCGUGUGUGAAGAAGGCCUCGG
rnacentral:rRNA from 1 species